UUCAUUAUCUAAUUUUGUGACAUUCCUUUGUUAGUGGCCUAAGCAUGACUACAGAACAUUCUGGAAAUAUGGCUCUUCAGGAGGUGAUCAGUUUUCAAAUACUGGAAAUAUUUGAAUGGCUGAGAACACAAGAACCACAAAGUGACCUCAGGGCAUCCGACCCCAACCCCCACCGCCCUCACAUCCUAAACUCCUGGAAUCACAGAAGGUGCUUGCUUCCCCUUCUUCAACUACGAUUGUAAGUUUCCUGAGGCCUUCUCGUACAUGUGGAACGGUGAGUCAAUUAAACCUCCUUCCUUUAUAAAUUACCGAGUCUCAGGAAUUUUUUAUAGCAGUGUGAAAUGGACUAAUACACUGUACCACUUAGGAAAUCUUCAUAUGACAAGUAACCACAACUGUGAACAACAUCACCAAGAGCAUCAACAUCCAAGUUUGAGAGCUUAAGGAAAAUGAGCCUAGGUGAAAGAUUUUCCUUUUCCAACCUCUUGACCUCUUGGAAUACACUAGAGUGCUUACCCUCAGAAUUAGCUUCUGGCUUAUUUUGUUAACACACGUUUAAUAUAAUGUCUCUUUAUUUUUUAAUUGAACCAUUCCUUUUUUUAAUUUUAAGCAUUCCUUUUUUAGGACAUUUACUAUUUAAGACUCCAAAACGAUUGGCCUUUGCUAUCAGGUCGUUGCAACAAAUGGUCCAACUGGUUUGGCAGGCACAAG
rnacentral:lncRNA from 13 species